UAACCUGCCCAGAGAUCGGGAUAACACCUGGAAACAGAUGCUAAUACCGGNUAACACAGAUGAUGCCUAUCAACUGUUUAAAAGAUGGUUCUGCUAUCACUCUUGGAUGGACCUGCGGUGCAUUAGCUAGUUGGUAGGGUAACGGCCUACCAAGGCGAUGAUGCAUAGCCGAGUUGAGAGACUGAUCGGCCACAUUGGGACUGAGACACGGCCCAAACUCCUACGGGAGGCAGCAGAC
rnacentral:rRNA from 1 species